rnacentral:ncRNA from 2 species
ACGGUCUUCUGCAACUGGCGCUAAGGUGGGUUUACCACCGGGGAGCAGACCUACAGACCACGACAGCCGUACGCCUGGGCACCUAUA